rnacentral:rRNA from 1 species
CUAUGCUCUGAUGUAGUUCAAAGAUCAUAUUCGGUACCGGGCUUUCUUAUCAUCUAAGUUGACACGGACUUGUCCGACAGAGAGGGUGAAAUUCCCGUCUAGAUGUAUAAUUGUAAGCUUCCAAACUGAUUGAUCUGAGAGUCGAGUUGCUUGGGAUUGCAGCUUUAAGAUGGAGGUAAAUUCCUUCAAAGACUAAAUAAAGUUGGAUAACCGAUAGCGAACAAGUACCGUGAGGGAAAGUUGAAAAGAACCCCGGAAGGGGGAUCAAAAGAACGUGAAAUUGUACAGAGGGAAACGCUUGGACGCCCCGUAUUCGCAAAUGUUAAUCUCUCAAGUAUUAUUUUUACUGGGAUAAAGAUUACAUUUGGAGAAGCCAUCGCCUUGAGAUUUAAUGCGUGUUGUGAGUAGGAACUAUCAAGUUACAAACGAGAUUUGGGUUUACGCAAGUUUACCUAAUAUCCUCCUUGGCUUUCAGUUAGUUUUCCCACGUAUAAGUCGGCAGUAAAGGAUGUUGAGUCAGUCUUUUGUGGGAUCGAAAGUUGCAAGCUGCGACACGACCUUUUUUAUAAGGGUUACUUUUAGUGUUUAGCUACCUUCUUACGAAGACCUGAGUCUCAAAUAAAAGCACACAUCUUACAAUAUGGCUAAGCAGCGGUCAAGCGACCCGUCUUGAAACACGGACCAAGGAGUCUAACAUGUUAGCAAGUCUUAGGGCCUAGUAACCCCUCUGGCGAAAUGAAAGUGAUUAGAGAUCCGAUUCCGACGCGAUUGGAUGCAGGAUUAGCCAAACUCCAUUAACAAUAGUUGUAGAGUUUGCGCAAGAGCAAAUAUGUUGGGACCCGAAAGAUGGUGAACUAUGCCUGAAUAGGGUGAAGUCAGGGGAAACUCUGAUGGAAGCUCGUAGCGAUUCUGACGUGCAAAUCGAUCGUCAA